rnacentral:rRNA from 1 species
CGCUAGCUACAGGCUUAACACAUGCAAGUCGAGGGGCAGCAUGGUCUUAGCUUGCUAAGGCCGAUGGCGACCGGCGCACGGGUGAGUAACACGUAUCCAACCUGCCGUCUACUCUUGGACAGCCUUCUGAAAGGAAGAUUAAUACAAGAUGGCAUCAUGAGUCCGCAUGUUCACAUGAUUAAAGGUAUUCCGGUAGACGAUGGGGAUGCGUUCCAUUAGAUAGUAGGCGGGGUAACGGCCCACCUAGUCUUCGAUGGAUAGGGGUUCUGAGAGGAAGGUCCCCCACAUUGGAACUGAGACACGGUCCAAACUCCUACGGGAGGCAGCAGUGAGGAAUAUUGGUCAAUGGGCGAGAGCCUGAACCAGCCAAGUAGCGUGAAGGAUGACUGCCCUAUGGGUUGUAAACUUCUUUUAUAAAGGAAUAAAGUCGGGUAUGGAUACCCGUUUGCAUGUACUUUAUGAAUAAGGAUCGGCUAACUCCGUGCCAGCAGCCGCGGUAAUACGGAGGAUCCGAGCGUUAUCCGGAUUUAUUGGGUUUAAAGGGAGCGUAGAUGGAUGUUUAAGUCAGUUGUGAAAGUUUGCGGCUCAACCGUAAAAUUGCAGUUGAUACUGGAUAUCUUGAGUGCAGUUGAGGCAGGCGGAAUUCGUGGUGUAGCGGUGAAAUGCUUAGAUAUCACGAAGAACUCCGAUUGCGAAGGCAGCCUGCUAAGCUGCAACUGACAUUGAGGCUCGAAAGUGUGGGUAUCAAACAGGAUUAGAUACCCUGGUAGUCCACACGGUAAACGAUGAAUACUCGCUGUUUGCGAUAUACGGCAAGCGGCCAAGCGAAAGCGUUAAGUAUUCCACCUGGGGAGUACGCCGGCAACGGUGAAACUCAAAGGAAUUGACGGGGGCCCGCACAAGCGGAGGAACAUGUGGUUUAAUUCGAUGAUACGCGAGGAACCUUACCCGGGCUUAAAUUGCAGAUGAAUUACGGUGAAAGCCGUAAGCCGCAAGGCAUCUGUGAAGGUGCUGCAUGGUUGUCGUCAGCUCGUGCCGUGAGGUGUCGGCUUAAGUGCCAUAACGAGCGCAACCCUUGUUGUCAGUUACUAACAGGUUCCGCUGAGGACUCUGACAAGACUGCCAUCGUAAGAUGUGAGGAAGGUGGGGAUGACGUCAAAUCAGCACGGCCCUUACGUCCGGGGCUACACACGUGUUACAAUGGGGGGUACAGAGGGCCGCUACCACGCGAGUGGAUGCCAAUCCCCAAAACCUCUCUCAGUUCGGACUGGAGUCUGCAACCCGACUCCACGAAGCUGGAUUCGCUAGUAAUCGCGCAUCAGCCACGGCGCGGUGAAUACGUUCCCGGGCCUUGUACACACCGCCCGUCAAGCCAUGGGAGCCGGGGGUACCUGAAGUGCGUAACCGCGAGGAGCGCCCUAGGGUAAAACUGGUGACUG